AACGAACGCUGGCGGCAGGCCUAACACAUGCAAGUCGAGCGCCCCGCAAGGGGAGCGGCGGACGGGUGAGUAACGCGUGGGAACAUACCCUUUGCUACGGAAUAGCCUCGGGAAACUGGGAGUAAUACCGUAUGUGCCCUUCGGGGGAAAGAUUUAUCGGCAAAGGAUCGGCCCGCGUUGGAUUAGGUAGUUGGUGGGGUAAUGGCCUACCAAGCCGACGAUCCAUAGCUGGUUUGAGAGGAUGAUCAGCCACACUGGGACUGAGACACGGCCCAGACUCCUACGGGAGGCAGCAGUGGGGAAUCUUAGACAAUGGGCGCAAGCCUGAUCUAGCCAUGCCGCGUGAGCGAUGAAGGCCUUAGGGUUGUAAAGCUCUUUCAGUGGGGAAGAUAAUGACUGUACCCACAGAAGAAGCCCCGGCUAACUCCGUGCCAGCAGCCGCGGUAAAGUACAGUGU
rnacentral:rRNA from 1 species